AACGAACGCUGGCGGCAUGCCUAACACAUGCAAGUCGAACGAGACCUUCGGGUCUAGUGGCGCACGGGUGCGUAACACGUGGGAAUUUGCCUCGGGGUAUGGAAUAACUCAGGGAAACUUGAGCUAAUACCAUAUAAUGUCUUCGGACCAAAGAUUUAUCGCCCUGAGAUAAGCCCGCGUAGGAUUAGCUAGUUGGUGGGGUAAAGGCUCACCAAGGCGACGAUCCAUAGCUGGUCUGAGAGGAUGAUCAGGCACAUUGGGACUGAGACACGGCCCAAACUCCUACGGGAGGCGAGCAGUGGGAAUAUUGGACAAUGGGCGCAAGCCUGAUCCAGCCAUGCCGCGUGAGUGAUGAAGG
rnacentral:rRNA from 1 species